UGCAGAAAGAUUGUUUCGAGUAACAGCCUGAGUUACUCGAUAUGUCCAAAUAUUGAUUUCAAAGGUUAAGGGGAAUGAGAGCGCCCCAACAUCAGGUAAAUUAGAACGAGAGGAGCUACUCAGAGCAGAAAAGCUUUGGAUAGCAAUUAGAAAGCCAGCUGAAGUUAGUUGAAGAAGAUAGAAUCUUAAGAUGUAGAGGAAGAUUCACACAGUCAGAUCUACAUGUAGAUGCAAAAUACCCAAUCUUGUUGCCAAAGGAAGGUACGUUAACUGAAUUGAUAAUUGUCCAUUGUCAUAAUAAGGUACAUCAUAGUGGGGUUAGAGCAACGUUAUCAGAGGUAAGAUCGCGUUUUUGGAUCCCAAAGGGUAGGCAAAGGGUUAAGGGUAUAUUAAUUAAACAAAUGCACCAUUUGUAAGAGAUUGGAAGGAAAACACUACAAUGCACCGAAAGAACUGCUGAUCUUCCCAGAUUUAAAGUAAGGGAAAC